AGAAUCAUAGGUUGACCGUCUUGAAGCAGCUGCGAAAGAGGUUCAAUGCAUUUCAUCACCAAUUACACAAAAAAUAUGAAUCUUAUGAAAGCCACGAAGAGGCAUUGGCCACUGGAUGUUCAAUGGUUGACUUGAACGUUUGGGUUACCUUGUGUCGGAGGUGGGGAAGCGACGAAUUCAAGAAAAUGGCUCGGCAAAAUCGGGAGAAUAGAAAGGCGUUAUAUGUCAACCACACAGCUGGCCGGAAAUCCUUUGUAAGGAUCUUGGAGGAGAAGCGGGCUGCAAAUGCGGAUUUGGUGGAGUUCUAUAAAGAGACUC